rnacentral:rRNA from 1 species
AUUGAACGCUGGCGGCAGGCCUAACACAUGCAAGUCGAGCGGUAGAGAGAAGCUUGCUUCUCUUGAGAGCGGCGGACGGGUGAGUAAUGCCUAGGAAUCUGCCUGGUAGUGGGGGAUAACGUCCGGAAACGGACGCUAAUACCGCAUACGUCCUACGGGAGAAAGCAGGGGACCUUCGGGCCUUGCGCUAUCAGAUGAGCAUAGGUCGGAUUAGCUAGUUGGUGAGGUAAUGGCUCACCAAGGCGACGAUCCGUAACUGGUCUGAGAGGAUGAUCAGUCACCCUGGAACUGAGACACGGUCCAGACUCCUACGGGAGGCAGCAGUGGGGAAUAUUGGACAAUGGGCGAAAGCCUGAUCCAGCCAUGCCGCGUGUGUGAAGAAGGUCUUCGGAUUGUAAAGCACUUUAAGUUGGGAGGAAGGGCAGUAAGCUAAUACCUUGCUGUUUUGACGUUACCGACAGAAUAAGCACCGGCUAACUCUGUGCCAGCAGCCGCCGCAG